AGAGUUUCUGGUCUAUCCCCGAGUUUCCCAAGACUCCAGCCUAGGCAGGCAGUGAGCCGCCCGUAUCGCCUCGCACAGUCCUCCCCUAGAAUAACUCGGUUUCUGUCUAGGGGGGUGGUUGCGCACAGUGGGGUAAAGCGGUCCCCAUUUCAAAAAGGAGCCCCUACUCCGAUCCCCAAGAGUUCUGAGUGGACUGAGGCUAAUCCCCGGGGCCACGGAGGACCCCACCACCACCAACCACCACCCUUCCCCAAACCUUUACAGACAGGACGCAGGAGAUGCCCGGGGGUGGCAAACAGCCCCGCCUGGGGAGGAAGACCAUUGUACUCUCUUUGGCAGCGUAAUGCCGGUCAGGUCAGUACUUGCAGAUGUCCUGCACGGGCUGCUCUGGGGAGAGGGAAGGGGCAGGAAACUCAACCCUUCCCAAGUCCCCGAGCGCCCGCAGGACGCAGGCUGCAGCUCGAGCGCCGCUCGUUACAAACUUUCCGGAGGGACGAGCGCAAUCUCCAGGCACUUACCGGCGCUGGAAUUCAUGAUUCCUCCCAUGCGGGCUCUCUCUGUCUCUUCUUUUCUUUUCUCUCCUCCCCAGAGCCCCUCUUUUUAAUCCUCUUUAAUGCAUUGACUCCAGUUUGGGGGGUGCAGGAAUCAGGGUCCGCGGCCGCCGCAUCACGUCCGGCAGCUCCGCAGCGCCGGUACAAAAGCAGCCGCCGGCUCCGGGGGCUCUCCCGACGCUCGCCACCGAGCCAGCCGCCUGGCCGGCCGAGGGACAAGGAGCGCGCGAGCGCCCCCGAGCCGAGCUCCCGGGGAAGGUUCCGAAGGCUCGAGCGCCUCCCUGGACGAGCUCCGGGAGAAGAUUCUCAGAGCGCUAGUGCGUUCCUCCCUCCUGCCCCCUACCCCCGGCGCGUGCGGGCUCCAGCUGGCCGGGCUCCGAGGGAGGCGUUCCGAAGAGCAAGCGCGCUCCCCCGGCACGCGCUCCCGAAAAAAAAAGGAAAAGGGAAAAAAAACCAACCACGAAUCCCGGCCCUCUCAGCGCCCCCUAAGGGCGGCAGCGAUAACAGCUAA
rnacentral:lncRNA from 1 species